rnacentral:rRNA from 1 species
UGGGGAAUAUUGGACAAUGGGCGAAAGCCUGAUCCAGCCAUGCCGCGUGAGUGAUGAAGGCCCUAGGGUUGUAAAGCUCUUUUGUGCGGGAAGAUAAUGACGGUACCGCAAGAAUAAGCCCCGGCUAACUCCGUGCCAGCAGCCGCGGUAAUACGAAGGGGGCUAGCGUUGCUCGGAAUCACUGGGCGUAAAGGGUGCGUAGGCGGGUUUCUAAGUCAGAGGUGAAAGCCUGGAGCUCAACUCCAGAACUGCCUUUGAUACUGGAAGUUUUGAGUUCGGGAGAGGUGAGUGGAACUGCGAGUGUAGAGGUGAAAUUCGUAGAUAUUCGCAAGAACACCAGUGGCGAAGGCGGCUCACUGGCCCGAUACUGACGCUGAGGCACGAAAGCGUGGGGAGCAAACA